UAUUAUUCUUAGAUAAAUAUGUCCUUAAGUUAGUAAUAGAUAUUUACUUAAAAAUUAAAAGAUUUGGCGGUAAUUUAAUCUUUUCAGAGGAACUUGUUUUUUAAUCGAUAAUCCGCGAAGUAUCUUGCUUAUCUUAAUAAAGAGUUUGUAUACCAUCAUUAUCAGGUAAUUUCAGAAGAAUAAAUUACUAAGAGUAAAAAAUUAAUAAAAUUAGAUCAUGGUGCAGCUUAUAGGUAAGUUAAAAUGAGUUACAAUAAAAUUUUUUAAUACGGAUAAAUGAAAGAAUUUUUAUUUAGAAGGUGGAUU
rnacentral:rRNA from 1 species